CAUCGCAUUUCACUGCCGUCGUUAAACUUGCAUCGCCGUCGCCACUGUUCAACCCGCUGUCAGGGAGAGGCACUUCCAUCGAACCCUAGCCAUCACUAUCGCCUCUGCACGCAAAGAAGGGGCUGGUGCCACUGUUGCCACUGUUGCCAUCGAUUUGGAGUUGCCAUAGACACAGUUAUUUCUACUUCUAGUGCUCAUUCUUCUAACUGUUGGAGUUACUGUGCAAUGGAGCCACUGGCGGGGUGUUCCUGCUGCCAGAACCACUGGGAAGGAUUGCUGGGAAUCACUGCUACCCUGUUUUCGUUCUAAUUAGGUUCAACAUCCAUUGGCCUGGAGCUGUUUCUGCCUUUCGAUUUCAUUGAAUUCAAAAUCUUCAUUUCACUGCAACCAUGGUCAUUGUUGUGGAAGCUAAUGCUACUGCUGUCCUGGUUGUGUUGAGAUGUAGUGCUGCUGCUUUCUUGGCAGAAACGGUUGCGUGACUAGUAGAGGUCCAGCCAGCUGUCUCGCGGCAAUUCUGCCAACGGUCUCUUAUAAUUGCGAUAUCGAGUAAGACAGGUUUGAAGACGCAAUUUGAAGCUGCGAGUGAUUAGUAGGUUUUCUUUAUGGUUUUAAUUGGUCUGGUAGAGUCCCCUCGCUGAUUGUCCCUUGAGAUUUUAUUUCAUAUAGAGGGGUAGGUUCGGUAUAUUGUAUUUGAGUUUUAUUUGGUUUCUUUGUAUAAGAAUUAUUAUCAAUAAUAUUUAUGUGAUUAUUAUUAUUUGUAAAUGUUUGAAUUAUGACUUUAAUG